UACGUAGGUGGCAAGCGUUAUCCGGAAUUAUUGGGCGUAAAGAGCGCGCAGGUGGUUGAUUAAGUCUGAUGUGAAAGCCCACGGCUUAACCGUGGAGGGUCAUUGGAAACUGGUCGACUUGAGAGCAGAAGAGGGAAGUGGAAUUCCAUGUGUAGCGGUGAAAUGCGUAGAGAUAUGGAGGAACACCAGUGGCGAAGGCGGCUUCCUGGUCUGUAACUGACACUGAGGCGCGAAAGCGUGGGGAGCAAACAGGAUUAGA
rnacentral:rRNA from 1 species